rnacentral:lncRNA from 1 species
AAGUUAGUAAUAAUAAUAGUAAAAGAUAUAAUAAUAAUAAUAAUAAUAAUAAUAAUAAUGAAUAACAACAACAACAAUAAUAAUAAUAAUAAUAAUAAUAAUAUAAUAAUAAUAAUAAUAAUAACAAUAAAUAUAGUAGUAGUAAUAAUAAUAGUAAAAAUAAUAAAAAUAAGGAAAAAAAGGGCGAAUUUGAAGAUAAAAAGAGAGAUAUUUUGUUUUAAAACUUAGGUCCCCCAACCGAAAGUUGACAUGUGUCACAAGGGAGAAAAAAAAAUAAAAACAAAAGCACAACCUCUUCU